CCAGGUCUUGACAUCCCGAUGCUAUUUCUAGAGAUAGAAAGUUACUUCGGUACAUCGGUGACAGGUGGUGCAUGGUUGUCGUCAGCUCGUGUCGUGAGAUGUUGGGUUAAGUCCCGCAACGAGCGCAACCCCUAUUGUUAGUUGCCAUCAUUCAGUUGGGCACUCUAGCGAGACUGCCGGUAAUAAACCGGGGGAAGGUGGGGAUGACGUCAAAUCAUCAUGCCCCUUAUGACCUGGGCUACACACGUGCUACAAUGGUUGGUACAACAAGUUGCGAGUCGGUGACGGCGAGCUAAUCUCUUAAAGCCAAUCUCAGUUCGGAUUGUAGGCUGCAACUCGCCUACAUGAAGUCGGAAUCGCUAGUAAUCGCGGAUCAGCACGCCGCGGUGAAUACGUUCCCGGGCCUU
rnacentral:rRNA from 1 species